UCGAUGUCAUGUUCAUGUCCUACUUAAUAAUGCCAGUCAUUUAAUGACAGAUUGCAAACCAAUUGGCUGUCCUCAACUGGUUCAAUGAAGAAUCUAACAAAUACAAGUUCAUUAAGAAAUCCCUUGAGGAUGUGGAUGAGGUUGAUCAUAUAGAUGUGACAGCCAAUGAUGAAGCAGCAAACCACACUGAAACACUAGAUGUAAGCCCUAGUACACGCUCAGCUGCUCUAGUGCGUACACGUCGUCGACGUGCCCCCACCCCUCAUUUUGCCACUAAGACCCCUUAUCCACCCUUGUCCACCCCUCGUGACACAACUGGGCCCCCCAUACCACCCAUCCCUCCCAUUGACACCGGAUCUCCCAUGUCGUUUACCUAUGCUGAAUUCGAGUCCUCCCCACACACCACCGUCGUUGACCACAACUUGCCCAUGGCCCCGUCCUAUAGCUCCCCCUAGAAAGUUAUACCCACCUCUAGCCUUCAAACACCCCAAGUUGAGCUCAUGUCUACCAGCCCGAGUCAUACACAACAUCCUCCUACCUCCUUCUCUCCCUUGAUGCAUGUUGCACAAGCGACACAACCACAUGAUGGACAUGUUGAGCAGGGGCAACGUGAUCAAGUUGAGCAGCCACACAAUGCAAAUGCUCACGCUCCACCCAAACAGAAAUUGACUUGCACCAUCCAACCAAAGAGAUGCAACAUAGUUUCUAUGGAGAAGGCACUCUCAAUAGUUUAUCAACCACAAGCCAUUUUCCGAAUCCGUCCGGUUAAUUGUUGUUCAGUAACAAUUUCUGGACAAGUAAAUUCAGCAAUUGACUGCUGAGUUGGGUACCAUUGCUACAUAUUCCAGUCCAUCUAGGUUUAAUCAGGGUAUGUAGUCACUACGGUGGACAUAUUGGAAAGAACUGGAUUUAUACCACCCUCGUUGGAACUAACGGGAUUUGCAAGGUGCGGAAGAAAGAUACUUUCUGCAUAUUGUCUUCAGGUCUGGUUAUUAUCGUCGCUGGCGGAUGUACUGGAUGCCUAUUGAACCUUCGACAUAGUGAAUCCUUUUAGGUUUUUUUUUUUUUUUUUUUGGUUGCUGUACUUGAAUAGAAUUUAUUAGCUUUGCUUCAUGGGAGAUUAAUAAAGUGCCAAGGUCUCGUAAUUCAACUGACAAUUCUUAGUAUUUUCAACUAAGAUAGUCAGGAUUUAAAACCCCAUCCCCCUAUGACAGUAUAUCAAAUUAUCCAAAAAUUAAUGAAAUAUUUAUGAGAAACGGACAAUCUUAUGGUUGAUAUUACCACUA